UAGGGAAUAUUGCACAAUGGGGGAAACCCUGAUGCAGCGACGCCGCGUGAGUGAUGAAGGCCUUCGGGUCGUAAAGCUCUGUCGUAUGGGACUAACAAAAUGAAGGUACCAUGCAAGAAAGGAUCGGCUAACUUCGUGCCAGCAGCCGCGGUAAGACGAGGGAUCCUAGCGUUGUUCGGAAUCAUUGGGCGUAAAGCGGGUGUAGGCGGACUUUUAAGUCAGGUGUGAAAUCCCAGGGCUCAACCCUGGAAGUGCACUUGAUACUGCAAGUCUUGAGUGUGGUAGAGGCUAUUAGAAUUCUUGGUGUAGUGGUGAAAUACGUAGAUAUCAAGAGGAAUACCGGAGGCGAAGGCGGAUAGCUGGGCCAACACUGACGCUGAGACCCGAAAGCGUGGGGAUCAAACAGGAUUAGAUACCCCCGUAGUCCCUGAGCGGGCUGGCAAGGCGCAU
rnacentral:rRNA from 1 species